AAAAAUCCCUUUUAACUAUUGAGAGGACCUGGUUAAAUGAUUUUUACUUUUACAUAAGUGAUGUGGAUCCAAAAUUAAAGAUCAUAGGCAAACUUACACCUGCAUAUAUUUGUGUUGAUUAUGUUUCCAAGUUGUAUUGCUAUUGCGCAGUGAGAGUAUACAAGGCAUUACUUGGCAUUUCCACGAUAGAUUACACUGGCUUAAAACCAUUAUAGUAUAUUAAAGACAACACAAGAUAGAAGAGACCCAUUUCGCAGAAUGAUGUGUUCGAUCAAUAUUUUACCACGGUAAAUGAACCACCUUAGAAAGCUCAUCAAGAAAGCAAGUCAACACAUCUAUAGAAUAACCACAAACUAAAUUAGCUUUUUCCAUGGAUGACUUGAUGUAAACAAGAUUAUUGUGCUAGCAGAUCUAUGGUCAACUUUUCCCCUGUUUGUCCAAUGUAGUCCUCAAAAUUGGACCACUAUGAUACGAAAUGAACCAUAAAAAUAUCUAAUAACUCUCAAACACAAAAUUGAACAGUUACAAGUCGAAAAUGAUGGUCCUAAGCAACAGGCCAGAAUGAAAAUUGAUAGUAUAUGAUUGUCAUAUAUUAUUUUUAUCAAACAGCAAAUGCAGCAUACUGCUCUCUAUCAGUGAUGUGCCUUAGCUUCAGCCUUCUGGUGAGACUUGGCCUUAGCCUGAAACAAAUAAGAUCGAAAGUUGGCAACAAACGUUAGUCUAUGCAUAAUGAAAUGCAAAUUAGCUAGUGUUAGAAACAAAUGUAAACAUCCAUUGAUUGAAAGAAAAUCAAAUAUUUACAGUUGAUACAAGACAACAACAACAACAACCACCGAGUAUAAUCCACAAGUGGGGUCUGGGGAGGGUAAUAUGUACGCAGGCCUUACCCAUACCUCGAGAGGCAUAGAAGUUGUUUCCAGGAAACCCUCGGCUCAAGAAGCAACAAGAGACGAUAUAUUAGUACUAUCAAUAGACUCAUACUAAAAUAACAUAAAAUACAUAACAUAAGAUAACAAAACAACAUCAAUAUAAGAAAUAUAGAAAAUACGAAAAAGUUAACAGUUAAUACAAGGAGAUUCACAAAAUAAUUAACAAGGAAAAAAAGAAAAGAUACGACACUGUAGAAAUUUGUCGAACAUCUUCAAAAAGGCAUUACAAAUUUCGCAGAUAAGUGAUCGGAAAGGAAAAUUCCAAACACAUCCCAACUCUCAUUUCUCAAUGUGGAUGGAGGCAGGAUUUCAGGGUGCUCAUGAACCGUGAAAAGGCCCAUCACGAUGAGAAAACUGCACAUUGCAUCUAUGUUAGACAAAUCAUGAAUAUCAUUUCACAGAGAAAAUGAUAAACGGGAUAUAAGAGCUAUACACUUGGAGAGGUAGAAACUAGCUGGAAUUAUAACAAGACAUUAUGGUUCAAACAAGUGUUUACUGUGGUCCUUUUUGCAACAAAGUCAAACACACUCAUAGAAGCCCCAAGAACAGCAUCCUAGACCAACAAACUGAUAAGUGGGCUUUUAAUCGUCGUGCACCUUUCCAUCCACUCUUAAACUGGACAUUAGCGGAAGCACAUUGUCCAUAGCUAAGAAGUAUCAGAGGCAUACCAUUCACAAAAUGAUAUACUUAUCUUCCACGUUAAAGCAUAAGCUUAUGAAUUUCUGCCUGUAUUUUCAGUAUGCAUCACCAUUCUAAAGGUUAUGAGAAUAAAAAUUUAUGUAUCUCCUUUCUGCUUCAUAAUCCAAAUUAAUCCCAUGGAAGUAGAUCAGGUAGUUUCGAAAAAAUAAAGCUGUGCCUCGUACUGCUACUUAGACAUGCUGUAAUUUUUGUCCAUCUAACCACCUCAUUGAAUAAUAUCUGUGCCCUUCACAUUGAGAUUGUUAUCAAAUAGAUCUACCAUAUUAGGGCAUUCUUUAUCUGGCUUAAUUUUGCAAUUCAGCUCCCAUUUAAGAUGCACUUUAACACACAAAAAUCUGCUAGCAUCUCUAAACAAUUAGAUAGAGUAAAUUUGAUUGCUAAAGCAGAAAAUUUCACAGUUUAAAGACAUUGAAGAAACAUAUCGAAUGAAGCAAACCACAGCAACAAAAAAAAUCAACCAAAAGCAAAUUUCUUUCUUAUCUAAAAAGAAAUAUUGGGAAAGAGAAACAAAUACCCUGAGAUACUUGAGCUUCAUGCUACCAUAGACAAGUCCGAAUGUGAAUGCCGAGGUACGUGCCACCUGCCCCCAAAACAAAUAAAUCAAUUAAUAAAUCCAUCACCUAAGCAUCAACCUAAACCAGUUCCGGUCUAUUCGGAUCUAUUUCAUUAUAAUACUCAACAAUAGGAUUAUUAAGUCAAUUAAAAGCAUUUCAAAAUCGAUGAUUGAUGGGUACAUUAGAUCGAAGCUUAGAAUGGAGAAGGAAAUGGAUUACCAGAGCAAGGGUGCUGGUACCAGAGUAAGGUCCGGGAAGAGGUGCCAUUGUUGACUUGCAAAGUAGAGCUUCUUCAAGAUCUCUUUUCAAGCCCUAGAUUUUUCACAAACCCUGAAAGGCCUGAACUGACAAACGACGGUGGGCUUAUAUGCUGUGAGCUGUGAUCUGCUGUGCGUCCGCCUAGUUAAAACCUCUGUGGUUUUAUUUUUUCCGUUUUUU
rnacentral:lncRNA from 1 species